rnacentral:rRNA from 1 species
UACGUAGGGUGCGAGCGUUGUCCGGAAUUAUUGGGCGUAAAGCGCGUGUAGGCGGCCCGAUAAGUCCGCUGUGAAAGUCCAGGGCUCAACCCUGGGAUGCCGGUGGAUACUGUCGGUCUUGAGGGAGAUAGGGGUGUGCGGAACUCACAGUGGAGCGGUGAAAUGCGUUGAUAUUGUGAGGAACGCCGGAGGCGAAAGCGGCGCACUGGAUCUCUUCUGACGCUGAGGCGCGAAAGCUAGGGGAGCAAACGGG